CUGGGGUGGCAGCAGCGCAUACCCAGUGAUUUUUCCCUCACUCUGUCAAGCUCACCUCACAGUGUAGAGCUCUGAAAUUAAAGAACGGGGUAUUUUCCGAUUAGUGGAAGAACUCAAACAUGUUGUUCUCCAGCUUUCUGAAGGCGGUCAUGGCUUCAACGUGGCUAGGAUCCAGUAUUGCCCAGAAAGUAACUCAAGCCCAACCAGCAAUGUUAGUGCAGGAGAAGGAGGCUGUGACCUUGAAGUGCAGAUAUGAUACCAGUGAUGGACGUUAUAGUCUAUUUUGGUACAAGCAGCCUAGCAGUGGGGCAAUGAUUUUCCUUAUUCGCCAGGACUCUUAUAACCAGCAAAAUGCCACAGAAGGUCGCUAUUCGUUGAAUUUCCAGAAGGCAAACAAAUCCAUCAACCUUGCCAUCUCAGCUUCACAGCUGGAGGACUCUGCAGUGUAUUUCUGUGCACUGAUGGAGCCCACAGUGAGAGAUGUGUUGGAGGAGGUGUACCAAAACCCCAGGGUUCUGCCUGAUACAUGCACCUGAUGUAGGGACCAAAGCAGAGAAUUGCCAUCACAGACAGAAAGUUGCUAGGGCUGUGGAAGCACAGGUGUGUGAUUAGAGGGACAGCACCCAAUCUAAGAAAAUACCUUUCCAGAUUCAUAGACCAUGUCCAGAGUUAUCAUUCAUGAAAAACCUCCUUAUCCCUGAAUCAUUGGCUUGAAGGUAGACUUCAGAAUUUGACCAAAGAUUGAAGAGAAAGAGCAGCCACAUAAAAUCUUUGCCAUUUUAUAAUUAGAUUGUGCUAGAAGAAUUGACUAAGGGAUUUCAAAAACACA